UUCGAAUUAUAAUCGGAAUUGCGUCAUUGUCUGGUUAGAUCUAAAAUCCAGCACAGACGAGAGAGGUGGGUGGUGGCCUAAGCGGCUUUGCCUAACCUAUUUGAAAUUAUGAUGGUUACAUGGCCGCCGCCCCUGUGGUGCUGAAGCUGACUCAUGACGGCCCUGCUGCGGCCCUGCUGAUGCAAAUUACACGUCUUACUACUGCUAGUGAAAGCUUUUCCGGCCACCACCGCUUUUGAUUUUUUCUCAAUGUAUAUGUUCUGGGCUUUCUGGUUUGGUUUCUCCGUUAAAUGUAUUGCCUUCACCAACGUUCAAUGGAAAGUCAACUACAAAGCUCUUUCGGUUGAUGAAAAGAGAUGAGGAGCAGAGAUUUAGACUUUAUUGGAUGCGAUAAAAUGGUCAGGGGUCAUAUGGGAAUGUUUCGUACUGUUACCAGUUGUUGAAGCGCGUUUAAUCCAUGAAUCGUCACUGUGAGUGUUUUCCGUCUAUUUGACACUUCAACCCAAACCACAGGGGAUUUAUGUAUAACUUUUUAAAUUAUGGGGGGUUAUAUGGUUUUUGCGAAAACCACAGGAGACUAAAAUAUAAUUUGCCCUUUUUUUUUUGUUGUUGUAUAAUGGUGUUGAAGCGGAAGCCACCAAGCCCAGCGGCGGUACUAGGUGGGAGUGCUGCUUUUGUUUGGGG
rnacentral:lncRNA from 1 species